GACGAACGCUGGCGGCAUGCCUAACACAUGCAAGUCGAACGAGACCUUCGGGUCUAGUGGCGCACGGGUGCGUAACGCGUGGGAACCUGCCCUUAGGUUCGGAAUAACUCCCCGAAAGGGGUGCUAAUACCGGUUAAUGUCUUCGGACCAAAGAUUUCUCGCCUUUGGAUGGGCCCGCGUUGGAUUAGCUAGUUGGUAGGGUAAAAGCCUACCAAGGCGACGAUCCAUAGCUGGUCUGAGAGGAUGAUCAGCCACACUGGGACUGAGACACGGCCCAGACUCCGACGGGAGGCAGCAGUGGGGAAUAUUGGACGAUGGGCGAAAGCCUGAUCCAGCAAUGCCGCGGGAGUGAUGAAGGCCUUAGGGUUGUAAAGCUCUUUUACCCGGGAUGAUAAUGACAGUACCGGGAGAAUAAGCGCCGGCUAACUCCGUG
rnacentral:rRNA from 1 species